CUUCUUCAAGGGAGGCAGUGACAUCGCCUGGUCCCUCAUACUUGCUGUUCUUUGAGGUUUCGAUGGUGCCAGGGCACUCCGUACCUCACCUGUAACAUCCUCACCUGCUGCAGGCACGUCCGCCAUCAUCAAGCGCCAGUUGCAUUGCAAGGAAAAGCUUAUGGAUCAUCUUCACAGUGAGUAAUCGCAUCAUUCGGAUUAAACGAUUUAUCCAAUUAAUUAUACAUUGGACUAAGCUAUGGAAUGCUUUUCUAAUAUGACGAAUUAAUACGAAUGACAAUUUUCGCUACAUGCGUACUACGUUAAUCAACAUUUAAAUUCAUCUCCAUUCACUUUUCGUUGCACGGUACUGAGUGAACGUUAAUAAUGCCAUUAACAUACAGAGGUAUUGAACAAAUUUUUUUAACCGUAUGACAAUUUUUUUUUCAGCAGACUGUACUACAGACUCCGAAUACUGCGGGACAAAAAUUGACCGUUGUGCGAUUGUCGCGCGUAACGACAUUAACCGGAAGUCACUGUGAAAUCACUUGAAAUUGUGAGAGUGAUUAUAAUAGAGGAUUCUUUAUUUUGACAGAAACGACAGGUCUACAAUAUAUAGUCAGGAGUGAAUAGGUUUGGAUUGUCUUUGCUGCUUCUUUAAUCGUCGCCAUGGAGACAUCGAAGUGUACGGGAUAUUUGAAGAACGGGAUAUAGCAGACACCCUGAAAUUAGCAGGCAUUGCUAUCCAAAUACUAAUCCAGGAUAAUGCGAUGCUAAAUAUGCAUUCAAUGCAUGCGGCGUUAGUUGCAUCCAACGUCAGUUAGGACAUUCCUAAAUAAAUAACCCGAGCACGACAAUGUAAAAAAAAAUGAAAGAUGGUACCAGGGAAAAGUAUACAAUACAAUUUUUUGUACGGUCGUCAGUCAAGUUUAAGUGCAAAGGUGCAACGAACAAACCAUGAAUUCUUUGUGACGUUAAACUGGGAUCCCGAAGACAAGCACGAUGUCACAAGAUCAGGGUAACAAGACUCUCUUGAAUUUCAGGCAAAAAAGGCGUUUAUUUCAAACAUAGAAAAACUAGAUUACAGGCUUUUCCUUUUCAAUAUAUACAAAGUGAGUCGCAAAUAUAUUUGUUUCUAAUGUCUAAUAUCGCAUAACAAUAUACAUCCACAUAACCUUUUUCAGAUCUACCGUCGAUCAAGACGGAUCGCAAAGGCAUUGGCGUCGGAUGUAUUCGUAAUUCCGAACAAUUAUUUAUUACUUUAAAAAGGAAGAUAGCAAGAAAAAAAUUA